rnacentral:rRNA from 1 species
GGAAUAUUGGACAAUGGGGGCAACCCUGAUCCAGCAACGCCGCGUGGGGGAUGAAGGUCUUCGGAUUGUAAACCCCUGUUGAGAGGGACGAAGGUUGACGGGCGAACAGUCCGUCCACUUGACGGUACCUCGAGAGGAAGCCCCGGAUCACUCUGUGCCAGCAGCCGCUGUAAUACAGAGGGGGCGAGCGUUAUUCGGAAUUAUUGGGCGUAAAGGGCGCGUAGGCGGCCCAGCAAGUCUUGGGUGAAAUCCCUCGGCUCAACCGAGGAACUGCCUUGGAAACUGCUGGGCUCGUGGCCGGGAGAGGGUGGUGGAAUUCCCAGUGUAGCGGUGAAAUGCGUAGAUAUUGGGAGGAACACCAGUGGCGAAGGCGGCCACCUGGACCGGUCCUGACGCUGAGGCGCGAAAGCGUGGGGAGCAAAC